rnacentral:rRNA from 1 species
UACAGAGGUCUCAAGCGUUGUUCGGAUUCAUUGGGCGUAAAGGGUGCGUAGGCGGCCCGGUCAGUUCGUGGUGAAAGCGCGGGGCUCAACCCUGCGUCGGCCAUGAAUACUGCCGCGGCUGGAGCACUGUAGAGGCAGGCGGAAUUCCGGGUGUAGCGGUGGGAAUGCGUAGAGAUCCGGAAGAACACCGGUGGCGAAGGCGGCCGUGCUGG